UUUCCGUAGGUGAACCUGCGGAAGGAUCAUUAUUUAAUGAUACACUUCUGGCUUUAUGCUGUUGUGCUGGCCCUUUGGGCAAUGUGCACACGGCUCUGGUCACUUGUUUCUUCUGUUCCACCUGUGCACUGCCUGUAGACACGCUGUGUCUAUGAUAUUUGUUAACACACAACAAUGUUAGUUGGCAUGUUAUAUAUAAUAAUAAAAUAUACAACUUUCAACAACGGAUCUCUUGGCUCUC
rnacentral:misc_RNA from 1 species